GGGACACGUGGUAUCCUGUCUGAAUAUGGGGGGACCAUCCUCCAAGGCUAAAUACUCCUGACUGACCGAUAGUGAACCAGUACCGUGAGGGAAAGGCGAAAAGAACCCCGGCGAGGGGAGUGAAAAAGAACCUGAAACCGUGUACGUACAAGCAGUGGGAGCACGCUUAGGCGUGUGACUGCGUACCUUUUGUAUAAUGGGUCAGCGACUUAUAUUCUGUAGCAAGGUUAACCGAAUAGGGGAGCCGAAGGGAAACCGAGUCUUAACUGGGCGUUAAGUUGCAGGGUAUAGACCCGAAACCCGGUGAUCUAGCCAUGGGCAGGUUGAAGGUUGGGUAACACUAACUGGAGGACCGAACCGACUAAUGUUGAAAAAUUAGCGGAUGACUUGUGGCUGGGGGUGAAAGGCCAAUCAAACCGGGAGAUAGCUGGUUCUCCCCGAAAGCUAUUUAGGUAGCGCCUCGUGAAUUCAUCUCCGGGGGUAGAGCACUGUUUCGGCAAGGGGGUCAUCCCGACUUACCAACCCGAUGCAAACUGCGAAUACCGGAGAAUGUUAUCACGGGAGACACACGGCGGGUGCUAACGUCCGUCGUGAAGAGGGAAACAACCCAGACCGCCAGCUAAGGUCCCAAAGUCAUGGUUAAGUGGGAAACGAUGUGGGAAGGCCCAGACAGCCAGGAUGUUGGCUUAGAAGCAGCCAUCAUUUAAAGAAAGCGUAAUAGCUCACUGGUCGAGUCGGCCUGCGCGGAAGAUGUAACGGGGCUAAACCAUGCACCGAAGCUGCGGCAGCGACACUAUGUGUUGUUGGGUAGGGGAGCGUUCUGUAAGCCUGUGAAGGUGUGCUGUGAGGCAUGCUGGAGGUAUCAGAAGUGCGAAUGCUGACAUAAGUAACGAUAAAGCGGGUG
rnacentral:rRNA from 1 species